rnacentral:lncRNA from 1 species
GGAGUGGGCGGGACGCCAGGCAGGCGGGGGACGCGGCGGCUGCCAGCCAAGGGGCCGGAGCCAAGAGAUUUGCAUUGGAAGCGCCAUCCUCUUGCGCGUCUGAUGAGGAAGCAGAACCCGGUGACCGACUGAGCUGCAUUUCUGAAGCAUUUGCUGGGUUUUGCCUCACUAAGCCUCGGGGAGCACUGGGGCGCGGGAUGGGGGACCCUGUCACGGAGCCGACACCUGCUCGCGCGCCUCUCCCCCGCUCACGCCGUGCCGCGGGCUCGCCCUCCCCAUCUGCAGCGCCCGCAGCGCCUGCCCGCCCCGCCCAUCCUUCCUCCUGGGCAACCCAGAGGAUGGCGUGAGGACUCCUGGAAGCCCAGAGGACCGGACCAGGGGCGUGGUGGGGAGCCGUAGACCCGAGUUUUUAUCCUUCUCUGGCGCCGACACUCGGCUGCGGAAUCGAGUUUGAGCUCGGUGUAGCUGAAGUUUAAAUUGUAGCUGUUUCAAAGAUGCCUUGGGAGUCUGAGGAACCCCAGAUUCAGCACCCCUGCUUAACCUGCUUUUAAGAAGAAAAAAAUGGAACUUGAUAAACUUCACUCAAAGGAGAGACCCACUAAUAACUCCACACACCUCACACCGAGUGAAGGUCUGGCUGUCCCUCUGUCUUCAUCUUUUCAGGCUGCUGUAAUAAAAUGCUAUAAGUGGGUGACUUAUAA